GACGAACGCUGGCGGCGUGCUUAACACAUGCAAGUCGAACGGAAAGGCCCUGCUUUUGUGGGGUGCUCGAGUGGCGAACGGGUGAGUAACACGUGAGUAACCUGCCCUUGUCUUUGGGAUAACUUCAGGAGACUGGGGCUAAUAUCGGAGAGGAGCUCCUGCUGCAUGGUGGGGGAUGGAAAGUUUCGGCGGUUGGGGAUGGACUGGAGGGUUAUCAGCUUGUUGGUGGGGUAGUGGCUUACAAAGGCUUUGACGGGUAGCCGGCCUGAGAGGGUGACCGGCCACAUUGGGACUGAGAGACGGCCCAGACUCCUACGGGAGGCAGAAGUGGGGAAUAUUGCACAAUGGGCGGAAGCCUGAUGCAGCAACGCCGCGUGCGGGAUGACGGCCUUCGGGUUGUAAACCGCUUUCGCCUGUGACGAAGCGUGAGUGACGGUAAUGGGUAAAGAAGCACCGGCUAACUACGUG
rnacentral:rRNA from 1 species